rnacentral:rRNA from 1 species
GGACUACCGGGGUUUCUAAUCCUGUUUGAUACCCACGCUUUCGUGCCUCAGCGUCAGUUGCAUCCCAGUAAGCUGCCUUCGCAAUAGGGGUUCUGUGUCAUAUCUAAGCAUUUCACCGCUACACAACACAUUCCGCUUACCUCAUUUGCACUCAAGAACAACAGUUUCAACGGCAAUUUUAUAGUUGAGCUACAAACUUUCACCGCUGACUUAUCGUCCCGCCUACGCACCCUUUAAACCCAAUAAAUCCGGAUAACGCUCGCAUCCUCCGUAUUACCGCGGCUGCUGGCAC